ensembl:lncRNA
UCUUACGCCACUGGUUCAGUAGGCUUCCUGGAGAUCAGGUAGUUCCUCAGGUCCUGGAUUUCCUGGAAGCUCCUGGCAUAGUCCAGAGAAGACAGCAGGCUGUCCUUACUGUGUCCCUGUGGGUUGAAGGUCCCGGCCCUCUCCUCCUCAUCUACCUUUUUCAUAAGGUACAUGGUGUAGCCAACCUCGUUCUCUAGGAACCACUUGAAAGAUUUUCCCUGGUACUUUCCGAACUGCAGCAGGUACUCUGAGCAUUUGUCAUGAGUGUAGUGGGUUUAACCCACGUAAACCCAGUUUUCCAGCUCUUAACUGAGACAAUACUAAUCCCCCUUCAGAUAGUAGUCAGAGAGUUUCGAUUAAUGAGGGGAAUUUGUAUUUAUAUAUAUAGAUAUUAGAUAGAGAUAUUUCAGUGUGACGUUGACCUGACAGAUGGCUCUUAUAGUGUGUACAGUAAUAUUAUUUAGAAGCUGUUAUAACAUAUAACGUUACGUACCAAAUUUAUAUAAAGUUACUAACGUAAGCUAAUGUUGUAAACUUACGACAACCAAAUUAAUGUAAAGUUACUAACGUAAGCUAAUGUUGUAAGCUUACGACAACCAAAUUAAUUGUAAACAUUACUACAUUGUAAAUACAGUACGACCAUCUACGACUGAGAAAAGUGAAUUUAUGAGUUAAAAACAAUAUGUCCAACUUACAAUUGAAAAGUUAACUUAUUGACGGAUGAAAAUAAUUGUCAUCUAUCUCCGAAAACGUGUUUGUGGUCUCCUUUCGACGCUCCGCUGUCUGUCACCUCCGACUUCUUCGACGACUACAUGUCAGGUCUAUCCAAUCUAUACAGUAAUCCACUAUCUGUUGUAAAUUAAUGAUGUUCAAUGGAAUAGAUAGGUGAAAUACAAAACGAAAUAAUACGGGCAUAGUCAAAUAAUUAGUCAAUCUUACAACUGUAUCCGUUAUUUGUCGUAAUGAUGUGUAGCUAUUAUUCUAUGGGUCAGUCACUGAGUUUCCGUAGUGUAGUGGUUAUCACGUUCGCCUAACACGCGAAAGGUCCCCGGUUCGAGACCGGGCGGAAACAGGAAAAAGUUUUGUUACUUUAUAUUUUUUGUACUGCUGACUUGAAAGUAUCCAUAUAGUCUACGCAUCUACCUCUAAAUUCAUAUCUUCAUAAACUUACAUUUGUACACAGCCAUUCACAGCCAGUAACGUUGAGUCUAGGGAGAACAAAAUGCCUAAAGUGUUUCCGCCCGGUUUCGAACCGGGGACCUUUCGCGUGUGAGGCGA